UACGUAGGGUGCGAGCGUUGUCCGGAAUUAUUGGGCGUAAAGAGCUCGUAGGCGGUUUGUCGCGUCGGCCGUGAAAACUUGGGGCUUAACUCCAAGCUUGCGGUCGAUACGGGCAGACUUGAGUUCGGCAGGGGAGACUGGAAUUCCCGGUGUAGUGGUGGAAUGCGUAGAUAUCGGGAGGAACACCGGUGGCGAAGGCGGGUCUCUGGGCAGUAACUGACGCUGAGGAGCGAAAGCGUGGGGAGCGAACAGG
rnacentral:rRNA from 1 species